UGUCAGGGAGACAACUGGAACGGCGGCAGUGUUUUUCCAUCUGUUACUGUGGACCCGAGGAUCUGAUUAAGCCUCAAGUUCGUCAGCUGUGUGGAUCCUCUCAGGGGACAGAUGUGAUUAGAGUGUAGAGGAUGUGGAGCAGAGAGAAAGUGGGAAAAACAAGAAGAGAGAGGAGCUUCCCACCUCCACCAAGACAUCAAUUCUGAGAGCUGAUGUGUGGGAGUGGGGAGGCCUUUGGGUCCCAGUGCUGCUGGGGCCCCCACAUCUAAUUUCCCAGGCAGAGCUGCGGCCUGUGUCUCCCACACCCUCUGAGAGGGAGUCUCUGGGGAUAGCUGCAGAUGCCGCCAACACCGGCCUGGCUCAGAAGACGAGAGCAGCCAGGUCCAGAGAGACUAUUUGGACAAGAAUGUAGACCUCUCCACAGGGACCUCCAGUGACUGACUGUGACCAGUGAGUCAGCUGCCGGCUCUCUCUUCCCUCCUGGGGGAGUGAGGACUCACAAUCAGAAAAGGAGUUGAAUUACAGAAGAAGUUGUAUAUCUGGAGGAAGAGCUCUGUGAGUCCUCGUAGAGCCGCUAUAAAAUAGGGAAACGAAGGCACGGAGAGUAGAGGAGCCAGAUGGAAACCCAGGCAGGACCCACCCCUGACCCCACACUGAGUCUGCUCUCACUGAAGGAUGGUGAGAACCUCCCGGUUUUAGUCCAAGCUGCUGUUUCAUGCAGAGGAUGAACCACUUGGAGACUGUGGAAUUGUGUUGGAGAGCUUCAUUACCCACCACUGCAUCCACCAAGACAUUGUACUUCAUGGAAUGAAACAUGGUCUCCUAAGGGCAAUUUUGUUGGAUGGUAGGUGAAGUCAAAGUUUGUGGGAAUUUCCUUUCUGAAGUUAUCAUGAGCAAAUACAAUACAAUUCCCAAUGGAUAAACACUCAUUUAAAAAUGCUUCCUGGCUCUCUUUAAAUGAAAGUAAAUGUUAUUACCUUUCAUAAACUGAUAAGAAUGCUUUGGGGGAGCAUUCUUUUGCUGAAAAUGUCUAAGGCUCAAUGGGGAGAAUGAGUCCUCUUUAUCAGUGGGUAGAACCAAGCUGUCAGAUCCUUUCUGCCCUACAGAAGCUGAUGUUUGAUAAAGACUCAAUUGCUGGUGGCUUUUACGUGAGAGAGCCUAUUAAUUUUAUUUCACUAUCUCCAAAUUUACUUUAAUGUUCUACAGACAACAUUAUUGUUUAGUUCUUUCUAUUAAAAAAAAGAACUAUGUAGUUCUCCAAUGUUAAUUUCUUUGGUAAUCCUGGGGUGGUACUUAGUAAUAAUGACAAUAAUCACUUUCCAAUUUUGUCUUUUUAACACAGAUUUCGCUUGGUGUUGGGAGCAAUGCAAGGGACCAUUGUACCUUAACUCAUUUAUUCUCAUAGCGCCCCCAUGAGGCAGGUAUUAUGCAUGCAUGCUAAGUCACUUCAGUCGUGACCAACCCUUUGUGACUCUGUG